rnacentral:rRNA from 1 species
UACGUAGGUGGCAAGCGUUGUCCGGAAUUACUGGGUGUAAAGGGCGUGUAGGCGGGUAUGCAGGUCAGAUGUGAAAUUCCCCUGCUCAACGGAGGCGCUGCAUCUGAAACUGUAUAUCUUGAGUGCUGGAGAGGAAAGCGGAAUUCCUAGUGUAGCGGUGAAAUGCGUAGAUAUUAGGAGGAACACCAGUGGCGAAGGCGGCUUUCUGGACAGUAACUGACGCUGAGGCGCGAAAGCGUGGGGAGUAAACAGG